CCUACGGGAGGCAGCAGUGGGGAAUAUUGGACAAUGGGCGAAAGCCUGAUCCAGCAAUGCCGCGUGAGUGAUGAAGGCCUUCGGGUCGUAAAGCUCUUUUACCAGGGAUGAUAAUGACAGUACCUGGAGAAUAAGCUCCGGCUAACUCCGUGCCAGCAGCCGCGGUAAUACGGAGGGAGCUAGCGUUGUUCGGAAUUACUGGGCGUAAAGAGUACGUAGGCGGUUAUUCAAGUCAGAGGUGAAAGCCCGGGGCUCAACCCCGGAACUGCCUUUGAAACUAGAUAACUAGAGUCUUGGAGAGGUUAGUGGAAUUCCGAGUGUAGAGGUGAAAUUCGUAGAUAUUCGGAAGAACACCAGUGGCGAAGGCGACUAACUGGACAAGUACUGACGCUGAGGUACGAAAGCGUGGGGAGCAAACAGGAUUAGAUACCCUGGUAGUCCACGCCGUAAACGAUGAUAACUAGUUGUUCGGUCACUUGGUGACUGAGUGACGCAGCACGACAUAAGUUAAUUCCGUCCGUCGGGUAGGUACGGUACGGUCGAAGAAUUAAAACUUAACUAAAUAAGUAAGUUAGUACGGCGUGAGACGUCGCCGACGGACGACGACGAGGGAGGUAGG
rnacentral:rRNA from 1 species